GUUAUAUGGUCAAGUGAAGAAGCGCAUACGGUGGAUGCCUUGGCAGUCAGAGGCGAUGAAAGACGUGGUAGCCUGCGAAAAGCUUCGGGGAGUCGGCAAACAGACUUUGAUCCGGAGAUCUCUGAAUGGGGGAACCCACCUAGGAUAACCUAGGUAUCUUGUACUGAAUCCAUAGGUGCAAGAGGCGAACCAGGGGAACUGAAACAUCUAAGUACCCUGAGGAAAAGAAAUCAACCGAGAUUCCCUUAGUAGUGGCGAGCGAACGGGGAUUAGCCCUUAAGCUUCAUUGAUUUUAGCGGAACGCUCUGGAAAGUGCGGCCAUAGUGGGUGAUAGCCCCGUACGCGAAAGGAUCUUUGAAGUGAAAUCGAGUAGGACGGAGCACGAGAAACUUUGUCUGAACAUGGGGGGGACCAUCCUCCAAGGCUAAAUACUACUGACUGACCGAUAGUGAACCAGUACCGUGAGGGAAAGGCGAAAAGAACCCCGGAGAGGGGAGUGAAAUAGAACCUGAAACCGUAUGCGUACAAGCAGUGGGAGCCUACUUGUUAGGUGACUGCGUACCUUUUGUAUAAUGGGUCAGCGACUUAUAUUCAGUGGCAAGCUUAACCGUAUAGGGUAGGCGUAGCGAAAGCGAGUCUUAAUAGGGCGUUUAGUCGCUGGGUAUAGACCCGAAACCGGGCGAUCUAUCCAUGAGCAGGUUGAAGGUUAGGUAACACUGACUGGAGGACCGAACCCACUCCCGUUGAAAAGGUAGGGGAUGACUUGUGGAUCGGAGUGAAAGGCUAAUCAAGCUCGGAGAUAGCUGGUUCUCCUCGAAAGCUAUUUAGGUAGCGCCUCAUGUAUCACUCUGGGGGGUAGAGCACUGUUUCGGCUAGGGGGUCAUCCCGACUUACCAAACCGAUGCAAACUCCGAAUACCCAGAAGUGCCGAGCAUGGGAGACACACGGCGGGUGCUAACGUCCGUCGUGAAAAGGGAAACAACCCAGACCGCCAGCUAAGGUCCCAAAGUUGUGGUUAAGUGGUAAACGAUGUGGGAAGGCUUAGACAGCUAGGAGGUUGGCUUAGAAGCAGCCAUCCUUUAAAGAAAGCGUAAUAGCUCACUAGUCGAGUCGGCCUGCGCGGAAGAUGUAACGGGGCUCAAACCACACACCGAAGCUGCGGGUGUCACGUAAGUGACGCGGUAGAGGAGCGUUCUGUAAGCCUGUGAAGGUGAGUUGAGAAGCUUGCUGGAGGUAUCAGAAGUGCGAAUGCUGACAUGAGUAACGACAAUGGGUGUGAAAAACACCCACGCCGAAAGACCAAGGGUUCCUGCGCAACGUUAAUCGACGCAGGGUUAGUCGGUUCCUAAGGCGAGGCUGAAAAGCGUAGUCGAUGGGAAACAGGUUAAUAUUCCUGUACUUCUGGUUACUGCGAUGGAGGGACGGAGAAGGCUAGGCCAGCUUGGCGUUGGUUGUCCAAGUUUAAGGUGGUAGGCUGAAAUCUUAGGUAAAUCCGGGGUUUCAAGGCCGAGAGCUGAUGACGAGUCGUCUUUUAGAUGACGAAGUGGUUGAUGCCAUGCUUCCAAGAAAAGCUUCUAAGCUUCAGGUAACCAGGAACCGUACCCCAAACCGACACAGGUGGUCGGGUAGAGAAUACCAAGGCGCUUGAGAGAACUCGGGUGAAGGAACUAGGCAAAAUGGCACCGUAACUUCGGGAGAAGGUGCGCCGGCUAGGGUGAAGGAUUUACUCCGUAAGCUCUGGCUGGUCGAAGAUACCAGGCCGCUGCGACUGUUUAUUAAAAACACAGCACUCUGCAAACACGAAAGUGGACGUAUAGGGUGUGACGCCUGCCCGGUGCCGGAAGGUUAAUUGAUGGGGUUAGCGCAAGCGAAGCUCUUGAUCGAAGCCCCGGUAAACGGCGGCCGUAACUAUAACGGUCCUAAGGUAGCGAAAUUCCUUGUCGGGUAAGUUCCGACCUGCACGAAUGGCGUAACGAUGGCGGCGCUGUCUCCACCCGAGACUCAGUGAAAUUGAAAUCGCUGUGAAGAUGCAGUGUAUCCGCGGCUAGACGGAAAGACCCCGUGAACCUUUACUGUAGCUUUGCACUGGACUUUGAGCCUGCUUGUGUAGGAUAGGUGGGAGGCUUUGAAGCGUGGACGCCAGUUCGCGUGGAGCCAUCCUUGAAAUACCACCCUGGCAUGCUUGAGGUUCUAACUCUGGUCCGUGAUCCGGAUCGAGGACAGUGUAUGGUGGGCAGUUUGACUGGGGCGGUCUCCUCCUAAAGAGUAACGGAGGAGUACGAAGGUGCGCUCAGACCGGUCGGAAAUCGGUCGCAGAGUAUAAAGGCAAAAGCGCGCUUGACUGCGAGACAGACACGUCGAGCAGGUACGAAAGUAGGUCUUAGUGAUCCGGUGGUUCUGUAUGGAAGGGCCAUCGCUCAACGGAUAAAAGGUACUCCGGGGAUAACAGGCUGAUACCGCCCAAGAGUUCAUAUCGACGGCGGUGUUUGGCAC
rnacentral:rRNA from 1 species